GGAAUGUUGCUCAGCGAUAAAGUGCUCGCCUCCCACAUGCGAGACCCUGGGUUCGAUCCUCAGCACCA
rnacentral:tRNA from 1 species